rnacentral:lncRNA from 1 species
CCUUGACCUUGUGAUAUUUGAAAGGUUAAGUGGUCCUGAGUUGAAUGGUGGUUAUCCCAUGUCUCUACGACUUCCGGUUCUCAAGUUUGGUAUUGCAUCAUAUAUUUGAUGAUUAAUUUUGACCUUGGUGAACUUUGAAAUUGUCCCAAUUCUUUUCUAUAAUGUUGUCCUUUAACUGUAGAUCACUUAUCAUUUAACAGAAUUCAGAUAUCUAUUGUCGUUUUAGAGAUAAUGCAGUUUAAACUUUUGCGAACGGCGGCAUGUAUUUCUGAAUCAACAACAGCUUUCCACUAAAAAUGAUUGAAAAAUUGAAGAGGUUAACAUAGUUAUAUGUUUGACCAAAUACCGAAAAACAUUCCAUGAAAAAA